AGCCCGUGGGCUUGCUGUCGUGAGCGUGUAUUGGUGGUGCAGACCGGCCUGUCGGCUCCGCAGGCCAACCCAGACAUCGAGCUUCUGAGUUCAGGAACCUUCAUUAAAUGUAUUUGCUACAUGUUUGCUUCAUUAAAUUUGUUUACUUAGUGAAUGAAUUCUAACCAAAUGCCUUCAUAACUUUCUCAGUAAUUCCUGACUUGACUCAUUUGGAAGGGAAAGAUGGAUAUAAACCCAGGCUGUUCAUGUUGCUUUAUUUGACAGGAAUGGCCACUCAUGGUGGGGCUGCCAAGGCUCUGAAGCCAAAAUGAUAUCUGUGACCCAUUUUAAAGUUAAGUGAUGGCAGUGUCCAUCUUUCCCCUCCCGGAAGUGCCUGUU
rnacentral:lncRNA from 1 species